rnacentral:lncRNA from 1 species
CGACCCAAACGGACUCCCACGGACACAGAGGGAAGACCCCAUGAGGACACCAUGAGAGGCAGCCGUCUGCAAGUCGAGGAGGAAGAACCCCCCACGGCCGGCCCCACGCCCUCGGGCUUCCAGCCUCCAGAACUGUGAGAACAUACAUUUCUGUUGUGUAGGCCGCCCAGUCUGUGCUGUGUUGUGGCGGCUCUAGCAAACUCUGCAAUGCACACACACACACACACACACACUAAAGUGUGUUUGUGUCCAUUUCUGAGGAUCCCAGACACCUCAGGACACAGAUGGUGACGGUAGUUCGAGGUAGGAAGAAGGGUGCGUGCCAGGCGGGGGGUGAGGCGUACGUGCGUAAGGCCCCGCGCGUAGGGACAGUGAAGCAAGAAGAUGUGGAUUGUUUUUUAAACUAGACCUUUAACUGCCCCCCCGGGAUUUCCUCCUGCAGGGCUCCGCUUUCCCGUUCCCGUUCUUCUCCUGUGAGCAGGGUCACUCACCUCACUGACCGCGAGGGGCCCCCAACUUGCCCGAGCGCAACAUCCCACCCAGCUCCCGUCACUGGGGCCAAAGGCCUUCCCACCACAAAAAGGGGCCCGAAAGGCCCCGCCUCCAAGCUCCAUCAAGAUGAAGGUUCGGGCUUCGGUCUCCAACACCUGGUCUCCGUGCUUCUCUUGAUUAUCUCUGUGCCUCCUCCGUCGGUCGUGCUGACCUCUGGGCUGAGCUGCUCCAACGACCUGUGGCCAAGCUUUCUUAUUUGCAACGGGGUAUGAUGCGUGCUGAGAAAGAGGACAUUAUUGCGUAAGAAAAGAUAUGAAAUACAAGCUCGUUUCUUUUUUUAUUAUUAGAUUCCACUGACGUAGCGUUGCUGUUACAUCGGUGUGGAUGCUGCUGCAGGCUCGCCGUCGCCUGCGUUCAUCUCACUGUGGAGCAGUCACCGAGUCUCCCGGGAACCAGGCCUCCUGCAUGGGCCACCCUUCGAGUGCUGCCUGGAGCCCCGCGGGAUACACUGUGGCAGCCCCCACAUCAUUUCCAGAGACAAAGACUCACGUUGGCAUCCCAGUGAAGACGCAGGGCUCCUCCCCAGGGGACAGAGCAGCCUGCUUGACAAGAACAGAAGGGUCCUCUUUCCCCAAAGCACGGGAUGUCAGAACAGAGGUGUCUUGGGUGGACGAAGCCUCUGGGAAUCCGGACACGAGUGGAGAUUUCCCAGCAAACACUUUUCCUGGCAAGAGAACUGGAGAGGGAGAGGUGUUCUGAGCCGUCAUUAUGGUUGCAGGGAUGAUGCAUCACGAAAUGAAACAAAUCAGUCCUUGGGACAGACGACCCAGGGGCAAAUCGGCCACCACAACAAAGAAGACAAGCUUUCAAACCAACAAGAGAAGACAAGAUUGCAAUGCCUUCCUAACAACGUUGCUUUAUUGAUGCGAUGCGAGGAAAACCACAUUAGAUUCUAUUGAUUCUCUUCGAGAUCUAAUAAUAAGCUUUAUUCAGAUCUUAUUCACAUACCACUUCCUCCACGGUCUUUCUCAGGAGCUGAAAUUGGCCAGUUACAAACAGAAUUUGUUCUCCUGUCCUUUGAAAUCACAGAAGCGGACAUGUUUUCGAACACAAAAGAUACCAAGGUUUCUCAGGGAAACAAAGCAGAGCUGGGUGGGGGGGGGAACUCCCCUCUAAACAAAAUUGAAAGCAUGUCUUACUUUAGAUUUAUUUCAUUACAGAGUCUUUCUCGGGGCUAAUCAGUUUGAGAACCCGUUCCUAUUGGCACCAAUGAGCCAAUAAAAAAUCCAGAAGGAGAGAAGAAGUAUCA